CCUCCUGGGUGAGUCAGUGGUGCUGGAAAACAGCAAGUACUUCCAACCGCCUCUAGUUCUUUUCCAAGGCCCUGGUGGGGGGUCUGCCUGUGGUCCUUCAAGGCGUCUCCUCCCAAAAAGCCUGCACGUUCCUCCCCACUCAAGAUAGCUCCAGAUACCAGGGUGCAUCCUGUACGGAAAGCUGCUCUCAAAACGUUAUCAUUAACGUUCUCAAAAGUAUACCUUAAAGCCAAUCUGUCUUAGGCGAUGAAGACACACCCUUUCUGGCACCAGCCCGCCAGCCUGGCUCUGCGGUAAGGAGGAAGAGUUAUCUCACCACCCACAGAAGCUUCCUCCUUUACUCAAAAGAACAGAUUCUGGGAGAAGAUGUUUCUGGGACUGCUCUGGGAAGUCCAGGGCCAGUGAUGGUCUUCACAGUCCGGCAGCCUGUCCUCUCAGCCAUGACUAAUGAAGGGAAUCAGUCUUGGCUGAGUUGCAACUAAAGAUGCUCAUGAAAGAAGACUCCCAGAGCUGCUUCCGAAUGUAGCACGGAUGAUGGGUAAAUACAGUGCCUGGAUUAAAUGGUGUCAGAGACUUGGCUACGUAAGGGUUAAAUUGCUGACCAUGAAGGGACCUCUGGCCCUUUGGAAAAGAUCAUGUUCAUAGUGCUCUGAAGUCAAGAUAACACCAUAGCUGAAGCAGCGGAGGACAGGAGGCCUGUGCUGACGUUCCCUGUUCCAGAGCUAUAAAGCCGCCAACCUUAGAUAUGAAACAGUUCUCCUAAGUGUCGGGAUUUACUGCCUUUGUUUCUCAAUACUGUGAUCAUUCUCAGCGGCUUCUGCCUCUGAUGUGCCCUCCUCUUCCUGUACCCCCACCUCUGUGAAAACCCAGUAAAUAUGGAGAGUUUUGACAUUCCUGGACUCCCUAAAAACCA